UACAGAGGUCUCAAGCGUUGUUCGGAUUCAUUGGGCGUAAAGGGCGCGUAGGCGGCGGGGUCAGUCGGGUGUGAAAUCUUGGGGCUUAACCCCGAAACGGCACUCGAAACUGCCCGGCUGGAGGGCCGGAGAGGAGAUCGGAAUUCACGGUGUAGCAGUGAAAUGCGUAGAUAUCAGGAAGAACACCGGUGGCGAAAGCGCUCUGCUAGGCCGCAACUGACACUGAGGGACGAAAGCUAGGGGAGCGAAUGGG
rnacentral:rRNA from 1 species